rnacentral:lncRNA from 1 species
GCAGGACUUGGAUUUAGUAAGAUAUUUACUGUGACAAACAAAAAAGAUCCAAAACAUAAAGUUUAACUUAAUAAAAUAAUAAAAUACAAACAUUUUAAUGACAUCAAUUUGGAACUUUUAAAUUUAUACAUUUGUUUGUAGCCACCUUUGUUUUUUAUUUCUAUUUAUUGCUUCAUUUAUCUUUAUUCACUUCUGUUCUCAGAUGGAUUGCCCUAUGGCCAAUUAUGUUAUGUUUUAUGUAGUGCAGGAGUGAAACUAUGUUUAUCAAAAAGAGUACUACCACAAAUACAUCCUAGAUAAUUAUGUAGAGAUAAAAAAUCUGUGAAAGAAUGUUUAUUAACAUAGUAAAAUAUUCAUAAAUUGAUUUGAAAAGACAAAAUUGAUGGGAAAUCAGGAUGCAAAAUUUGUAUAUUCAUAAUUUUAUGUAGAAAUAUAUACAUUUAAAUUGAAAAAAGUCUGGAAGUUAAUGCAGCACAAUUUUCUAUCUGCUGAGAAUGUUGGGAGCUUGAGGAAAAAGUAAGAGAGAUAUAUCCUUUUAACUUCUCUAUUCCAAAAAGUCCUGUAAUUAACCUGUAUUAAUUAUGCGUUUGAAUAUGACUCAACAUUUCUUUUGAAAAAAGUUUUAUUUAUAAAACUAAAGGAAUUUAGGGUUAAAUUUUAAAGGGUCAUGACUUUCCUUCAUUCAUGUCUAAUCUGAUUUUAUGUCCACAGGUGAUAUGUUCCUUUUGUGCUAUAAAGGAUGCAAAAUCCAGACAUGCAUCCAAAGUCAAUGAAGGCAAAUAUCCUGAAUGAUUUCAUGCCAUAUCCUGAAGUCUCUCCAGCAAGGAUUUAGAAUAAGGGAAGCAAUAAAACAAGACCUUCUCAACAAUCACAAGAUAAGCACGUUCAUCUUUGUGGCUAGUAGAUGCAAGUUUCAAAAUGUGGUUGAAAAAAAAUACAUAGCUACCCAGGCUGCCCCUCCGAGAGCGGAGGCAGCGAGAGAGUCCGCGUGUGCCGCUCACCGGUCCGCACCGGGGAGAGCGGAGGGGACCGAGACCGGCACCACCUCCUGGUCCUUGCUCCAGGUUACAGGAAGCCAAUUACAAGAGUCAUCACCACUGUCCCCCAGGGUCUGCAGUAGCAAGAAGCUGGAGUUGGGAACAAGAGCUGGGACUUGAACCCAGCUACUCAGAAAUGGAAGACCUGCAUCUUUAUUGGCAUCUUAAACACUAGGCUUUAGAAUUAAUAUUGAUAUCAGUAAUUAGCACUAGAGAUCAUAACCUACUGUAGUAUUUUUAAUACUUGACUUCCUAUAUGUCUCUCUUCAGAUACUAUUACAAAUAAUAUUUAUAAUCAUUUGAUAAGUCUUUGGUUUGGAGCCAUAAUAUGUCGAUUGUAAGUAUUUUAAAGCAUAUCAAAAUGUAAACUUGUUAAAAAUAAUCUUGUGUGUAAUAGCUUCAUGACACAUUUUUUAAAACAAAAGGAAAGAAUAUGGAAUGUAUGAAUUUUUCAGUUUAUUUAUAAAAUUUAGUAAAUUUAACAAUAAUAGUUUACAUAUAGAGAGAUUUAGCUGUCUGCUAGGUGCCAUUUCAUAUGUUUUUGGUCAUUACUCAUUUAGUCCUCACUUUAAAAUCUGCACUCCCCAGUAGCUCACAAUAGUUAGGGCUGGGCCAGGUUCAAUCUGGUUCACCCACACGAGUUUCAUAAACCUAACUACAUAAGCCAUCAUUUCCUGACCCAUAAUGUGCAUUAGCAGGAAAGUGGAAAUGGGAGCAGAGCCAGAACUCCAACCUAGGUAUUCAGGUGUGAAACACAGAUAUCCUGGCAUUUUAAUUGAUAAGCCAAACACCUACUCCAGGAUGCAUUUUUAAAUAGGAUAGUAAGUGAAGGUCUCCUUUGAGUACAGUUCUAAGGUGGUGCAGAAUUGAGCAAGAAUUGGAACCACACCUGGUGAUUUGAGAAGGAGCAAAGAAAUCAUAUGGAAAAGGUCGACUGGGCCAAGGAAGCUUGAAAGUGCAUUUCACAGAGUUAACUCAGGUGGUUGAGAGCACUUUGGCUGUUUACUUUCAAUGAGCUGGGAAGCUGCUGGAGGAUCUGGGGCAGAAAGGUAAUACUUUCCAACUUAGAUUUCAUAAGAAUCAUUUGAAUAAAAUGUUUUUGUUAGACCA